UACGAAGGGGGCUAGCGUUGCUCGGAAUUACUGGGCGUAAAGCGCACGUAGGCGGUCUUUUAAGUCAGGGGUGAAAUCCUGGAGCUCAACUCCAGAACUGCCUUUGAUACUGAAGAUCUUGAGUUCGGGAGAGGUGAGUGGAACUGCGAGUGUAGAGGUGAAAUUCGUAGAUAUUCGCAAGAACACCAGUGGCGAAGGCGGCUCACUGGCCCGAUACUGACGCUGAUGCACGAAAGCGUGGGGAGCAAACAGG
rnacentral:rRNA from 1 species